rnacentral:rRNA from 1 species
AUGUCUGGCGUGUGGGUGUUCCGCAACGGGGUGGUGAAGCUGGUGGAGAACCACCCGGCGUCGGCGGCGGGACCUCCCGACGGCAGGGCGGUCUGGCGCAAGGCGCUGCUGCACACGCCCACGGGGGAGGUGGUCGCCUCCUACGCCUCGCUGGAGCGCAAGCUCGUCACGCUCGGCUGGGAGCGCUACUAUGCCGGUGGGGGCGGCACCGCCGGUGACUGCAUGCUCAGGUUCCACAAGCGCUCCUCUGUCGACCUCAUCUCCCUCCCCAAGGACUUCGGCCAGUUCAGCUCCGUCCACAUGUAUGACAUCGUCAUCAAGAGCCGCGACGCCUUCCGCGUCAUCGACGUCUAG